UACGUAGGGUGCAAGCGUUGCCCGGAAUUAUUGGGCGUAAAGAGCUCGUAGGCGGUUUGUCGCGUCUGCUGUGAAAACCCGAGGCUCAACCUCGGGCCUGCAGUGGGUACGGGCAAACUAGAGUGCGGUAGGGGAGAAUGGAAUUCCUGGUGUAGCGGUGGAAUGCGCAGAUAUCAGGAGGAACACCGAUGGCGAAGGCAGUUCUCUGGGCCGUAACUGACGCUGAGGAGCGAAAGCGUGGGGAGCGAACAGG
rnacentral:rRNA from 1 species